rnacentral:rRNA from 1 species
UGCGAAUGGGUGAGUAACACGUACUCAACGUACCUCUUAGAUUGGGAUAGCGAACGGAAACGUUCGAUAAUACCAAAUACUUAUUAGUUUCGCAUGAAACUUAUAUAAAAGGAGCCUUUAAAGCUCCGCUGAGAGAUCGGGGUGCGCAACAUUAGCUAGUUGGUGAGGUAACGGCCCACCAAGGCGAUGAUGUUUAGCGGGGUUGAGAGACUGAACCGCCACACUGGGACUGAGAUACGGCCCAGACUCCUACGGGAGGCAGCAGUAGGGAAUAUUCCACAAUGAGCGAAAGCUUGAUGGAGCGACACAGCGUGCAGGAUGAAGGUCCUAUGGAUUGUAAACUGCUGUGGUAAGGGAAGAAAAAGUCAUAGAGGAAAUGCUAUGACAUUGACGGUACCUUAUUAGAAAGCAACGGCUAACUAUGUGCCAGCAGCCGCGGUAAUACAUAGGUUGCAAGCGUUAUCCGGAAUUAUUGGGCGUAAAGCGUCUGUAGGUUGUUUGUUAAGUCUGGCGUCAAAUUUUGGGGCUCAACCCCAAACCGCGUUGGAUACUGGCAAACUAGAGUUGUGUAGAGGUUAGCGGAAUUCCUUGUGAAGCGGUGAAAUGCGUAGAUAUAAGGAAGAACACCAUUUUGGCGAAGGCGGCUAACUGGGCAUAUACUGACACUGAGAGACGAAAGCGUGGGGAGCAAACAGGAUUAGAUACCCUGGUAGUCCACGCCCUAAACGAUGAUCAUUAGCUGAUGGAGAAUUCGUCGGCGCAGCUAACGCAUUAAAUGAUCCGCCUGAGUAGUACGUUCGCAAGAAUAAAACUUAAAGGAAUUGACGGGGAUCCGCACAAGCGGUGGAGCAUGUGGUUUAAUUUGAAGAUACGCGUAGAACCUUACCCACUCUUGACAUCUUCUGCAAAGCUA